rnacentral:rRNA from 1 species
GACGAACGCUGGCGGCGUGCUUAACACAUGCAAGUCGAACGAAGUGGCGAACGGGUGAGUAACGCGUAAUAAACCUGCCCUUCAGAGGGGGACAACAGUGGGAAACGACUGCUAAUACCGCAUACUGAUGGCGGGUUUUGCGUCUGAUUAGCUAGUUGGAGGGGUAACGGCCCACCAAGGCGAUGGUCAGUAGCCGGGCUGGGAGGAUGAACCGCCACAUUUGGACUGAGACACGGCCCAGACUCCUACGGGAGGCAGCAGUGGGGGAUCUUCCGAAAUUGAGGAAAGUCUGACGGAGCAACGCCGCGGGAGUGAUGACGGCCUUCGGGUUGUAAAGCUCUGUUAAGCGGGACGCGGUACCGGAAUAGAAAGCCACGGCUAACUACGUGCCAGCAGCCGCGGUAAUAC